GGGAGCCAAAACCUCUGACUGGAUGGGCGACCGCCAGCAGCACCAGGAGCCCGAGGGGCGCCGAGCGCAGAGCCAUCCUGGCCGCGACCCUCAAGCAG